GAUGAACGCUGGCGGCGUGCCUAAUACAUGCAAGUCGAGCGAACAGACGAGGAGCUUGCUCCUCUGACGUUAGCGGCGGACGGGUGAGUAACACGUGGAUAACCUACCUAUAAGACUGGGAUAACUUCGGGAAACCGGAGCUAAUACCGGAUAAUAUAUUGAACCGCAUGGUUCAAUAGUGAAAGACGGUUUUGCUGUCACUUAUAGAUGGAUCCGCGCCGCAUUAGCUAGUUGGUAAGGUAACGGCUUACCAAGGCAACGAUGCGUAGCCGACCUGAGAGGGUGAUCGGCCACACUGGAACUGAGACACGGUCCAGACUCCUACGGGAGGCAGCAGUAGGGAAUCUUCCGCAAUGGGCGAAAGCCUGACGCAGCCACGCCGCGUGAGUGAUGAAGGUCUUCGGAUCGUAAAACUCUGUUAUUAGGAAAGAACAACUGUGUAAGUAACUCUGCCCGUCUUGACGGUACCUAAUCAGAAAGCCACGGCUAACUACGUG
rnacentral:rRNA from 1 species